AUCAUUAAUUUUAUAGCAUCAUUCAAGAAAUAUUUACUUGCUUUACUGUCUGCCAGUCGAUGAAAAAUUAUAUUAUAUCCAUUGGGAUCCGGUACAGAUGUACAUAUAUGACAUAUAUGUAUUUAUGUACGAUUAGAGUUCAAUGCACUCGUCAUGUUCGUGCAUGAAGAGAAAGCCUAAAGAAUUGUACAAUACAUAUAUACAUAUAUAAUAUAUAUAAUAUAUUGUUAUCACGUAACCAACAUUACGAGUAUCACAGUAGAGAUGUCACGUAAAAAUAUUUAUAAAUAUCUAACCAAUUUUCAAUAAAAUUGUUAUAUCUAAAAAAAAAAUCAUAUUCCAUAAUUUAUCCCAUGGUAAAGUAAAAAAAAGAAAAAAGAAAAAAAAAAGAAGAAGAGACAAAUAAAGCUUACAGUACUUUCAGGGAACAUUGCAAGUUAUCUAAUUUGAUAUCACGAUUGCUAAAAAAUUCCGG